rnacentral:lncRNA from 1 species
UACAAUGGAGUUGGCUAAUGCUAACACCUUGGUGUGCUACAAUGGUGUUGGCUAAUGCUAACACCUUGGUGUGCUACAAUGGAGUUGGCUAAUGCUAACACCUUGGUGUGCUACAAUGAAGUUGGCUAAUGCUAACACCUUGGUGUGCUACAAUGGAGUUGGCUAAUGCUAAUACCUUGUUGUGCUACAAUGGAGUUGGCUAAUGCUAACACCUUGGUGUGCUACAAUGAAGAUGGCUAAUGCUAACACCUUGGUGUGCUACAAUGGUGUUGGCUAAUGCUAACACCUUGGUGUGCUACAAUGGAGUUGGCUAAUGCUAACACCUUGGUGUGCUACAAUGGAGUUGGCUAAUGCUAACAGACUCAGGCCGGACGCGAUUUGAUCUGCGUUAGAUCCGUGUUAAAGUUUGCUUGACAUUUUCCGAUUUAGCUGACAUUUGCAGUGUUUACUGUGAAUGUGAUUGCCUGUGAAUGCGGGAGUGUUACCUUUUUAAAAAGAGCAUUGUCGACAAAGCGCGACGGGAUUGAAUCCGUCCUCAGUCAUCUCUAGAACCAAUCAUCACUCAGAUGAUGCCAAUAGUUUGACCCUAAAUGCACUUUAAACAUUCAGCUUUUCCCCGUGAACUGACCGUUGUCUUUGGUUGAAAUGUUUGUGGUUUGGAAAAAGGUAGUCACUGGUCGUGUCCGAAAUCUGACUUGCCUACUACUUAAACUAAAUAUUGUGUACUGAACGUACUAAACGCUAUUUAAAACGCACUGUUUAGUAAGAAUGUACGCAGUAAGUGACAAAUAUCAACGUACUACUCAUCCGCACUGAGAAGGUGGCAUCGACUGCGCAUCACCCUUGUUCCCCGCCAUUGGUACAUGUUGUAGAGCGCAUCCCCUUAUUCUGUUUAUCAGCUGUUUGUCGAACACGUGAAAAGAAAAAAGAGGAUUCUCUUCCUGAAUAGUGUGCAGCGAAUUCAAUUUCAUCAAAAGCCAAAUGACUAUGAGAUCUGGGCAUUUAAAUUAUACUCGAUUUUCAAAACGUCACAUACUAUAAAACUUUUUAUAUUUUUUUCUUUCUGCAUAUUUAAGAAACCUACUAUUUACUAUUUUAAAUUUGGGUAUUCGGACACGGUCAGUGUAACUCCAAUUGUGUCAUGAUGCUUAAUACUGAUCAAUGGUAUUUCAUUUCGAACACAGUGAAUUAAGUUUCAAAUGUUAGUUUGAUUUUAUGGAUAAUUGCUACUGCAAGUGAAACACUGAAUGUGACCGUUUAUAGUUUCAAAAAAAGAAAAUUACUUUGCUACGAUAAUUUAAUGAUUUGCUAAAUAUAAUUAUUUAACUUUGUUUACUAUGUUAUUAUGUUACUCUUAUAGCUACAGUAACUUCCCUAUUUCACAUUUUUGGUCUACAGUACACCCAGCCUCUACACUCAAAUUAAAACUUCAGAUAUCAAGCACAAAUUGUUAAAGGUGCAACAUGCAGAAAUCACUUCGCCAUUUCCUGGUUGCUAAAAAUCCAAUAGUUUGCCUAAUUUUAGUUUGUGACAAAACAAGCAAGUACAGUGUAGAGAAUCAUUGUACCAUCUAAACCGCUGUGAAAUAUAUUUUUCGUAACCAAAAAUAUUGUAUUUUCAGCUGUUUUGAAGUUGGUGUACAAAACCCGAAAGUAAAAGACUCAAAAAUAAAAACGUAAGAAUGGGAAGCAUAGAAAUCGAGCACAUAGAACAUAUCUACUACUUCUUAAACUGGCUUUCAAUGAGGACAGCUCCAAUUGUGUAACUCACAUUUCUAUGUGAAUUUGUUUGAGUUGCCGAUUUUUUUUUUACAGAUUGCAGCUUUAGCUACUGCACACAAAACGAUGUAUAAGAAUUGGUAGGAUUUUUUUUUCUUCUGAAUACCCAGCAGCCCCUACUAACUCCCCAUCACAUAGACCAGUCUUCCCUAGUGAUAAUCAAGGAUUCAAUGGAAAAGUACAUUAUCCUCCCCAAGUUCCAUUUCACAAGGAAACAAUUGCCACAAAGUCAAAACCCUAACGUGUGUCCUUAACGGCACCCUAUUCCAUUUAUAGCGCACUACGUUUGACCAACGCCAUAUGGGCGUAGUGUACUAAACUACAUAGGGUGUUAUUAGAGACUUAAACCCUAACCUUUUUCCUCCGAUUGUACCUUGAAUAGCAUAAUGGCAUUACUAUAAGGUGAUCUAUACGUCAUUAAUAAUACUGUCUUUUACACUGUGUGUAAAAAAAUAAAAUAAUUAAGAAACACCUUUUGCCCUCAUAACAGAUUCAGUUCGUCAGGGCGUGGACUCUAAAAGGUGUUGAAAGUGUCCCACAGGGAUGCUGGCCCAUGUUGACUCCAAUGCUUCCCUGAGUUGUGUCAAGUUGGCUGGAUGUCAAUCAAUCAAUGAAUGAAAUGUAUUUAUAAAGCAGAUGUCACAGUACUUAUACAGAAGCCCAGCCUAAAACACCAAACAGCAAGCAAUGCAGAUGUAGAAGCACGGUGGCUAGGAAAAACUCCCUAGAAAGGCAGGAACCUAGGAAGAAACCUAGAGAGGAACCAGGCUCUGAGGAGUAGCCAGUCCUCUUCUGGCUGUGCCAGGUGGAGAUUAUAACAGAACAUGGCUAUUAAAGCCAGAUUGUUCUUCAAGAUGUUCAAAUGUUCAUAGAUGACCAACAGGGUCAGAUAAUAAUAAUCACAGUGGUUGUAGAGGGUGCAACAGGUCAGCACCUCAGGAGUAAAUGUCAAUUGGCUUCACCUGGUCAGUCUAUGUCAUAGAAAGAGCACGUGUUCCUAAUGCUUUGUACUCAGUGUAUACUGUAUAUGGUAUGAGCAAGUAUCCAUAGGAUUUAACCCAUCCCAAUCCUAUUACAUAUCCCUGGGUAUGUUUGGCAUGUCAUCGUCACUCAUGCUUAAAAUGUUAGUUUUUUUAAGUUCGUUUUUUUUUUUACAAUAUGUGUACAAAUGUUGCAACAAUUCAGAUUUCAGGAAAGCCAAAAAAAAAGCUGUUAAGAAAUAAACGUGUUAAAUAUUUAUUUUGUGACAUUUCAUCUUAUUUAACGAACAUAAUUUCUUCAUACAAUCAUAAACCCGUCCACCACACCUACCUAGGUUUGCAAAAGUUCUGGAAUUUUCACAAAAUUCCCAGGUUUUCCAGAAAUCCCGG